UAAAUGGUGGCUGUUAUUGCUGAUAUAAUAAUAAGCUUUCCCUUCCAGUGACUUUUGCCUAAUGACAGUUGUUACAGUUCUCAUGGCACAGCUUCCCUUCUACUGGCUUAAGCCUAUAAUGACAAUUGUUACAGUUCUCAUGGCACGGCUUCCCUUCUACUGAUUUAAGCUUAAUGACAAUUGUUACAUUCUCAUGGCACGGCUUCCCUUCUACUGACUUAAGCCUAAUGACAAUUGUUACAUUCUCAUGGCACGGCUUCCCUUCUACUGACUUAAGCCUAAUGACAAUUGUUACAUUCUCAUGGCACGGCCUCCCUUCUACUGACUUAAGCCUAAUGACAAUUGUUACAGUUCUCAUGGCACGGCUUCCCUUCUACUCGACAUCUGCAUCCACCACUAAUAU